rnacentral:lncRNA from 1 species
UUCUUUCUCACUUGAUUUUCGUGGGUAUGGGGCUUUGGGAGAUAUGAUGGGCAGUUUUGCUUGGUUAAUGCUUUGUGAUAGUUAUUUGUGAAGAGAUUUGACGAAAGCAUGCUAAACUUGUUAUGUUUGGAUGAGUUAAGCUUACCCAUUCAGUUUUAGGGUUUUUAUGAUGAUGCUUUUGAUGUUGGUGUGCUGAAAUUGCUUAUGGAAAACUGCUAGGGAUGAAGGGUAGAGUUAACCUAGGGUUAGAAAGUGAGAAUAUGGUGUUAUGAGUGGAAAAAGAGUGAGUUUUUGAGAGUUGG